rnacentral:rRNA from 1 species
AUUGAACGCUGGCGGCAGGCCUAACACAUGCAAGUCGAGCGAGCGGCGGACGGGUGAGUAAUGUCUGGGGAACUGCCCGAUAGAGGGGGAUAACUACUGGAAACGGUGGCUAAUACCGCAUACCAUCAGAUGUACCCAUAUGGGAUUAGCUAGUAGGUGGGGUAAAGGCUCACCUAGGCGACGAUCCCUAGCUGGUCUGAGAGGAUGAUCAGCCACACUGGGACUGAGACACGGUCCAGACUCCUACGGGAGGCAGCAGUGGGGAAUAUUGCACAAUGGGCGAAAGCCUGAUGCAGCCAUGCCGCGUGUAUGAAGAAGGCCUUAGGGUUGUAAAGUACUUUCAGCGAGGAGGCGUUACUCGCAGAAGAAGCACCGGCUAACUCCGUGCCAGCAGCCGCGGUAAUUC